UCUCCUGUAACUAGCAUGUCAGUAAUUCAUUAAUUACAGCCCAGUAUGCUCAUUGAAAUUGAAGUUAUCGGAAGUAAACAUAAUGUGGGAGGACAAUUGUUUUAGAAUAUUUAGGAACUUUACAAAAAAUGCAUAUGCAAAGGAACAUGCAUGAACAAAACAUGUUAAUGUUAAAAAUAUAUGACGUUCCUUGUGGAAGCAAGUGUCAUCUUGGGCCAGAGUAACAAAAUAGGGUUCACGGAUAUAAAAUUAAACAAAAUUUAAUAUUUAAUUUUAAUUGUUCGCUUAUUCACUUUAUUCAUCUAAUUGUAAUAAUAACAAUUUGUAUAACUAAAAAUAAAGAUUUUGAAAAUGUUUGUUAACAUUUAACCCAUAUGAUCCCAAAACAUGUAUGGUCAGCUGGAC
rnacentral:lncRNA from 1 species